GACGAACGCUGGCGGCGUGCCUAAUACAUGCAAGUAGAACGCUGAAGGAGGAGCUUGCUCUUCUGGAUGAGUUGCGAACGGGUGAGUAACGCGUAGGUAACCUGCCUGGUAGCGGGGGAUAACUAUUGGAAACGAUAGCUAAUACCGCAUAAGAGUAGAUGUUGCAUGACAUUUGCUUAAAAGGUGCAAUUGCAUCACUACCAGAUGGACCUGCGUUGUAUUAGCUAGUUGGUGGGGUAACGGCUCACCAAGGCGACGAUACAUAGCCGACCUGAGAGGGUGAUCGGCCACACUGGGACUGAGACACGGCCCAGACUCCUACGGGAGGCAGCAGUAGGGAAUCUUCGGCAAUGGACGGAAGUCUGACCGAGCAACGCCGCGUGAGUGAAGAAGGUUUUCGGAUCGUAAAGCUCCGUUGUAAGAGAAGAACGAGUGUGAGAGUGGAAAGUUCACACUGUGACGGUAUCUUACCAGAAAGGGACGGCUAACUACGUG
rnacentral:rRNA from 1 species